rnacentral:rRNA from 1 species
GAGACAUCAGCCGCCACGGGAAUACGUAGGGUGCAAGCGUUAAUCGGAAUUACUGGGCGUAAAGCGUGCGCAGGCGGUUAUAUAAGACAGAUGUGAAAUCCCCGGGCUCAACCUGGGAACUGCAUUUGUGACUGUAUAGCUAGAGUACGGCAGAGGGGGAUGGAAUUCCGCGUGUAGCAGUGAAAUGCGUAGAUAUGCGGAGGAACACCGAUGGCGAAGGCAAUCCCCUGGGCCUGUACUGACGCUCAUGCACGAAAGCGUGGGGAGCAAACAGGAUUAGAUACCCGAGUAGUCCCUGUCUCUUAUAC